AAGUCGUAACAAGGUUUCCGUAGGUGAACCUGCGGAAGGAUCAUUAACACGUAUCCAAACGUUAAAACCCCCCCCGUGAACCUUCAUCCUGCUCUUGUAACCCGCGUAGUUCGCAAUCUCUGAUAAAUCAUAGCCCGGAAAAUUUACAUUGAGCUUCACAUUAAACUGUGGGGUUAUUAGGGGGCGUGGGGACCCUUUGGCAAAGCUCCUGCCCGAGUGUACGGUCUACAGGAAUCGUAGAAGCGCUAUCCUUGCACAAUCAAUGACACUUUCCGACACUGACUGCUUGGAGAAACAUUGCCUAUAGAACUACCGCUCGAUUGUAACUGUUCCAAUGUUCGCACGUAGCCAGAUGUCUGUGAAUGGGUAAAAAAACCGAACAACUGUUAACAAUGGAUAUCUUGGUUCUC
rnacentral:misc_RNA from 1 species